ACGGGUGAGUAACACGUAUCCAACCUGCCGUCUACUCUUGGACAGCCUUCUGAAAGGAAGAUUAAUACAAGAUGGCAUCAUGAGUCCGCAUGUUCACAUGAUUAAAGGUAUUCCGGUAGACGAUGGGGAUGCGUUCCAUUAGAUAGUAGGCGGGGUAACGGUCCACCUAGUCUUCGAUGGAUAGGGGUUCUGAGAGGAAGGUCCCCCACAUUGGAACUGAGACACGGUCCAA
rnacentral:rRNA from 1 species